rnacentral:rRNA from 1 species
UACGAGUGGUGCGAACGUUAAUCGGAAUUACUGGGCGUAAAGCGUGCGCAGGCGGUCUUGCAAGACAGAUGUGAAAUCCCCGGGCUUAACCUGGGAACUGCAUUUGUGACUGCAAGGCUGGAGUACGGUAGAGGGGGAUGGAAUUCCGCGUGUAGCAGUGAAAUGCGUAGAUAUGCGGAGGAACACCGAUGGCGAAGGCAAUCCCCUGGACCUGUACUGACGCUCAUGCACGAAAGCGUGGGGAGCAAACAGG